rnacentral:rRNA from 1 species
AGAGUUUGAUCCUGGCUCAGAGUGAACGCUGGCGGCAGGCCUAGUACAUGCAAGUCGAACGGCAGCACAGCAGAGCUUGCUCUGUGGGUGGCGAGUGGCGGACGGGUGAGGAAUACGUGGGAAUCUGCCCAGUCGUGGGGGAUAACGUAGGGAAACUUACGCUAAUACCGCAUGCGCCCUUCGGGGGAAAGCCGGGGACCUUCGGGCCUGGCGCGAUUGGAUGAGCCCACGUCGGAUUAGCUAGUUGGCGGGGUAAAGGCCCACCAAGGCGACGAUCCGUAGCUGGUCUGAGAGGAUGAUCAGCCACACUGGAACUGAGACACGGUCCAGACUCCUACGGGAGGCAGCAGUAGGGAAUAUUGGACAAUGGGCGCAAGCCUGAUCCAGCCAUGCCGCGUGAGUGAAGAAGGCCCUCGGGUUGUAAAGCUCUUUUGUCCGGAAAGAAAAGCGCCGGGUUAAUACCCUGGUGUCCUGACGGUACCGGAAGAAUAAGCACCGGCUAACUUCGUG